rnacentral:rRNA from 1 species
AUUGAACGCUGGCGGCAGGCCUAACACAUGCAAGUCGAACGAGUGGCGGACGGGUGAGCAAUGUCUGGGAAACUGCCUGAUGGAGGGGGAUAACUACUGGAAACGGUAGCUAAUACCGCAUACCAUCAGAUGUGCCCAGAUGGGAUUAGCUAGUAGGUGGGGUAACGGCUCACCUAGGCGACGAUCCCUAGCUGGUCUGUGAUGAUGACCAGCCACCCUGGAACUGGGACACGGUCCAGACUCCUACGGGAGGCAGCAGGGGGGAAUAUUGCACAAUGGGCGCAAGCCGGAUGCAGCCAGGCCGGGUGUAUGGAGAAGGCCUUCGGGUGGUAAAGUACUUUCAGCGGGGAGGCGGUACCCGAAGAAGAAGCACCGGCUAACUCCGUGCCAGCCGCCGCGGUAAUUC